UCCGCAAUAGCUCAAUCGGCAGAGCAAUCGGCUGUUAACCGAUGGGUUCCAAGUUCGAGUCUUGGUUGCGGAG
rnacentral:tRNA from 1 species